CACGUAGGGGGCAAGCGUUGUCCGGAUUUAUUGGGCGUAAAGAGCUCGUAGGCGGCUCAGUAAGUCAGGUGUGAAACCUCCAGGCUCAACCUGGAGACGCCACCUGAUACUGCUGUGGCUAGAGUCCGGUAGGGGAGCGUGGAAUUCCUGGUGUAGCGGUGAAAUGCGCAGAUAUCAGGAGGAACACCAAUUGGCGAAGGCAGCUCGCUGGGACGUUAC
rnacentral:rRNA from 1 species